rnacentral:rRNA from 1 species
GAUGAACGCUGGCGGCGUGCCUAAUACAUGCAAGUCGAGCGAACGGACGAGAAGCUUGCUUUUCUGAUGUUAGCGGCGGACGGGUGAGUAACACGUGGAUAACCUACCUAUAAGACUGGGAUAACUUCGGGAAACCGGAGCUAAUACCGGAUAAUAUUUUGAACCGCAUGGUUCAAAAGUGAAAGACGGUCUUGCUGUCACUUAUAGAUGGAUCCGCGCUGCAUUAGCUAGUUGGUAAGGUAACGGCUUACCAAGGCAACGAUGCAUAGCCGACCUGAGAGGGUGAUCGGCCACACUGGAACUGAGACACGGUCCAGACUCCUACGGGAGGCAGCAGUAGGGAAUCUUCCGCAAUGGGCGAAAGCCUGACGGAGCAACGCCGCGUGAGUGAUGAAGGUCUUCGGAUCGUAAAACUCUGUUAUUAGGGAAGAACAUAUGUGUAAGUAACUGUGCACAUCUUGACGGUACCUAAUCAGAAAGCCACGGCUAACUACGUGCCAGCAGCCGCGGUAAUACGUAGGUGGCAAGCGUUAUCCGGAAUUAUUGGGCGUAAAGCGCGCGUAGGCGGUUUUUUAAGUCUGAUGUGAAAGCCCACGGCUCAACCGUGGAGGGUCAUUGGAAACUGGAAAACUUGAGUGCAGAAGAGGAAAGUGGAAUUCCAUGUGUAGCGGUGAAAUGCGCAGAGAUGUGGAGGAACACCAGUGGCGAAGGCGACUUUCUGGUCUGUAACUGACGCUGAUGUGCGAAAGCGUGGGGAUCAAACAGGAUUAGAUACCCUGGUAGUCCACGCCGUAAACGAUGAGUGCUAAGUGUUAGGGGGUUUCCGCCCCUUAGUGCUGCAGCUAACGCAUUAAGCACUCCGCCUGGGGAGUACGACCGUAAGGUUGAAACUCAAAGGAAUUGACGGGGGCCCGCACAAGCGGUGGAGCAUGUGGUUUAAUUCGAAGCAACGCGAAGAACCUUACCAAAUCUUGACAUCCUUUGACAACUCUAGAGAUAGAGCCUUCCCCUUCGGGGGACAAAGUGACAGGUGGUGCAUGGUUGUCGUCAGCUCGUGUCGUGAGAUGUUGGGUUAAGUCCCGCAACGAGCGCAACCCCUAAGCUUAGUUGCCAUCAUUAAGUUGGGCACUCUAAGUUGACUGCCGGUGACAAACCGGAGGAAGGUGGGGAUGACGUCAAAUCAUCAUGCCCCUUAUGAUUUGGGCUACACACGUGCUACAAUGGACAAUACAAAGGGCAGCGAAACCGCGAGGUCAAGCAAAUCCCAUAAAGUUGUUCUCAGUUCGGAUUGUAGUCUGCAACUCGACUACAUGAAGCUGGAAUCGCUAGUAAUCGUAGAUCAGCAUGCUACGGUGAAUACGUUCCCGGGUCU